rnacentral:tRNA from 1 species
AGGCCUAUAACUCAGCGGUAGAGUUGAUGCCUUACAAGCAUCGAGUCGUCGGUUCGAAUCCGGCUGGGCCUA